GUUUGCCACCCUAUAACCUAUGUUCGCCCCUAGGUAAGAAUUUCUCAUAAGUAAGAAUUUCUCAUAAAGCAAUAUAUAUUAUUUAGAUUCUUUAGUUAGUUUCUUCAACAACUUUAAUAUAAAAGAGGAAAUAAAAGGCAAUAAUAAAAAGAAGAAAUAAAAGGCAGUAAUAAAAGACCAAUGUAAGAAAAAAAAUGAAACAUGUAUGCUUUGAUUGAAA
rnacentral:misc_RNA from 1 species